UACGUAGGGAGCAAGCGUUGUCCGGAAUCAUUGGGCGUAAAGCGCGCGUAGGCGGCCCUGUAAGUCCGUUGUGAAAGUCAAAGGCUCAACCUUUGAAAGCCGAUGGAUACUGCAGGGCUAGAGUACGGAAGAGGCGAGUGGAAUUCCCGGUGUAGUGGUGAAAUGCGUAGAUAUCGGGAGGAACACCAGUGGCGAAGGCGGGUCUCUGGGCAGUAACUGACGCUGAGGAGCGAAAGCGUGGGGAGCGAACAGG
rnacentral:rRNA from 1 species